UACGGGGGGGGCAAGCGUUGUUCGGAAUUACUGGGCGUAAAGGGCUCGUAGGCGGCCAACUAAGUCAGACGUGAAAUCCCUCGGCUUAACUGGGGAACUGCGUCUGAUACUGGAUGGCUUGAGAUUGGGAGAGGGAUGCGGAAUUCCAGGUGUAGCGGUGAAAUGCGUAGAUAUCUGGAGGAACACCGGUGGCGAAGGCGGCAUCCUGGACCAACACUGACGCUGAUGAGCGAAAGCCAGGGGAGCAAACGGG
rnacentral:rRNA from 1 species